UGGCGGACGGGUGAGUAAUGUCUGGGAAACUGCCUGAUGGAGGGGGAUAACUACUGGAAACGGUAGCUAAUACCGCAUAACGUCGCAAGACCAAAAGAGGGGGGACCUUACGGGCCUCUUGCCAUCGGAUGUGCCCAGAUGGGAUUAGCUAGUAGGUGGGGUAACGGCUCACCUAGGCGACGAUCCCUAGCUGGUCUGAGAGGAUGACCAGCCACACUGGAACUGAGACACGGUCCAG
rnacentral:rRNA from 1 species